GUUAACAACUUGUAACAAGCUUGAUGGUACUAUCAGACUUGUUGCAAGGUUGUUCCAACAAGUCUGAUACAAUAUUGGUACAAGUUUGUGUCGUUAACCUUGUAACAUUCUUGUUAUAUCAUGACUGCAUCAGACUUGUUAGAACGAUCUUGUAACAAGUCAAUAAUAAUGCCAUCAAGCUUGUUACAAGUUGUUAAC